AUUGAACGCUGGCGGCAUGCCUUACACAUGCAAGUCGAACGGCAGCGGGCCUUCGGGUGCCGGCGAGUGGCGAACGGGUGAGUAAUGCAUCGGAACGUGCCAUUGAGUGGGGGAUAACGUAGCGAAAGUUACGCUAAUACCGCAUAUUCUGUGAGCAGGAAAGCAGGGGACCGCAAGGCCUUGCGCUCUUUGAGCGGCCGAUGUCAGAUUAGCUAGUUGGUGAGGUAAAGGCUUA
rnacentral:rRNA from 1 species